rnacentral:lncRNA from 1 species
GGCUAUGCCUCAAUUGAUAAAGUGAACUAAUUGCCUACUUCAAAAGCAGUUUUGCAUGAAAGUCAACAUCUAAUUGGAAUUUACAAUGCCCGAUAUUUCUACACAUCUGCCACAAAUUUUAUGGAAAACAAUAUUUAUAGAAACUGAACAUACCUUGGUUAAACGUAUAUGAAAUGGGUAACCAUCCUCGAAGAACAUCAACCAGCUGUCGGCAAUGUGCAGGUGGACUGAGGAAUUUUCCGGUGUGUCCUUUAUGGACUGUACUCCGUCUUAGCACAAUUCCCAAGUUUUACCCGAGAGGCCAUGCUUCAGGUUGGACCGUCUUCCAUAUAUCUACUGACUUCAUAUAAAUGAAAGUGUACUAAAGGCUCACUGAUCUACACUACCAGCUCAUGCUCAACGUUACUGAACAACAAAGUAAUCCGACAAUCAGACUGGACCCGGUCAUGUUAGGUACCAAAGGAAAACGAAAAUAUCAUUGGUUCUAUACUGAUGCAUGACUUCGCUCGGAACGCGGCAAGAAUUAACAAUGGAAGAAAAUACUACAGACGUGUUUAUUAACAAUAAAGUUAUUUUUGUUUUUAUGAAAUAGCGAUUGAAUAAAAAUAUUA